AUAAAGUUGUUGCGGUUAAAAAGCUCGUAGUUGAAAUUGUGUCCUGCGGUGUCGGUCUACCGAUUGCGGUACGACAGGCACGUCUGCGGGGCUUCUCGCCGGUGCGUCCACCGCCGGCGUGCGUCGGUCGGCCUCUCACGGUCGGCCGCGCACCGAGGCGGGCCGUCGCGGCUGUUUACUUUGAACAAAUUAGAGUGCUCAAAGCGGGCUAUCACUCGCCUGAAUAUUGUACGCAUGGAAUAAUAGAAUAGGACCUCGGUUCUGUUUUGUUGGCUUUCUGAUACCAGAGGUAAUGAUUAAUAGGGACAACUGGGGGCAUUCGUAUUGCGACGUUAGAGGUGAAAUUCUUGGAUCGUCGCAAGACGGACUAAAGCGAAAGCAUUUGCCAAAGGUGUUUUCAUUAAUCAAGAACGAAAGUUAGAGGUUCGAAGGCGAUUAGAUACCGCUGUAGUUCUAACCAUAAAUGAUGCCAGCCAGCGAUCCGCCGAAGUUUCAUAAUUUUAACCCGGUGGGCAGCUCCCGGGAAACCAAAGCUUUC
rnacentral:rRNA from 1 species